ACGGGUGAGUAUCGCGUAUGCAAUCUACCUCUAACUGGAGGAUAGCCCGAAGAAAUCGGGAUUAAUACUCCAUAAAGUCAUAAUUUCGCAUGUUAUUAUGAUUAAAGCUCCGGCGGUUAGAGAUGAGCAUGCGUGUCAUUAGCUUGUUGGUGAGGUAACAGCUCACCAAUGCAACGAUGACUAGGGGUUCUGAGAGGAUGAUCCCCCACACUGGUACUGAGACACGGACCAGACUCCUACGGGAGGCAGCAGUGAGGAAUAUUGGGCAAUGGGCGAAAGCCUGACCCAGCCAUGCCGCGUGCAGGAUGACUGCCCUAUGGGUUGUAAACUGCUUUUAUACGGGAAGAAUGGUUCCUACGUGUAGGGAUUUGACGGUACCGUAAGAAUAAGCAUCGGCUAACUCCGUGCCAGCAGCCGCGGUAAUACGGAGGAUGCAAGCGUUAUCCGGAUUCAUUGGGUUUAAAGGGUGCGCAGGCGGAAUAUUAAGUCAGUGGUGAAAUCCUGCAGCUUAACUGUAGAACUGCCAUUGGUACUGAUAUUCUUGAAUGUAGUUGAGGUGGGCGGAAUGUGUAAUGUAGCGGUGAAAUGCUUAGAUAUUACACAGAACACCGAUUGCGAAGGCAGCUCACUAAACUAACAUUGACGCUGAGGCACGAAAGCGUGGGGAGCGAACAGGAUUAGAUACCCUGGUAGUCCACGCUGUAAACUAUGAUCACUCGCUGUUGGCAAUAC
rnacentral:rRNA from 1 species